UACGUAGGGGGCGAGCGUUGUCCGGAUUUAUUGGGCGUAAAGAGCUCGUAGGCGGUUCGGCAAGUCGGGUGUGAAAACUCCGGGCUCAACUCGGAGACGCCACUCGAUACUGCCAUGACUCGAGUCCGGUAGGGGAGUGCGGAAUUCCUGGUGUAGCGGUGAAAUGCGCAGAUAUCAGGAGGAACACCGGUGGCGAAGGCGGCUCACUGGCCCGAUACUGACGCUGAGGCGCGAAAGCGUGGGGAGCAAACAGG
rnacentral:rRNA from 1 species